UACGGGGGGGGCAAGCGUUGUUCGGAAUUACUGGGCGUAAAGGGCUCGUAGGCGGCCAACUAAGUCGGACGUGAAAUCCCCAGGCUCAACCUGGGAACUGCGUCCGAUACUGGAUGGCUUGAAUUCGGGAGAGGGAUGCAGAAUUCCAGGUGUAGCGGUGAAAUGCGUAGAUAUCUGGAGGAACACCGGUGGCGAAGGCGGCAUCCUGGACCGAUACUGACGCUGAGGAGCGAAAGCCAGGGGAGCAAACGGG
rnacentral:rRNA from 1 species